rnacentral:tRNA from 1 species
GGCCAUAGCUCAGUUGGUUAGAGCACUAGAUUGUGAUUCUAGGGGUCGCGGGUUCGAUCCCCGUUGGC